GGUAGGAAACUGGAGGGUGGGUUUAAUAGUGUAAAUUUUGUGAGUAUGUGUGUGUGUAUCUGUGAAUGUCUCAGUAUGUCUAUAUGUCAGUAUGUCUGUCAGUGUAUGUGUCAGUAUGCCUGCCAGUGUGUGUCAGUAUGUCUGUCAGUGUGUGUGUGUGUCAGUAUGCCUUUGAAUGUAUGUCAGUAUGUCUUAGUAUAUGUGUGUGUCAAUAUGUCUGUCAGUGUAUAUGUCAGCGUGUCAGUAUGCCUGUGUGUGUCCCCGUGAAUGUGUGUCAAUAUGUCUGUCAGUAUAUGUGGGUGUGUCUGUGUGUGUCCAUAUGUAUGUCAUUGUGUGCAUGUCUGUAUCAGUAUGGCUCUUUGUGUCAGUAUGUCGGUGGGUGUGUUGGUGAAUGUGUCAGCAUGUCUGUCAGUGUGUCAGUAUGUCUGUGUGUCAGUAUAUAUCUGUCUGUCUAUGUGUCAAUAUGUCUGUCAGUUUAUGUUUCUGUGUAAGUAUGUCUAUCAGUGUAUGUUUGUGUGUCAGUUUGUCUGUCUCUAUGUGUCUGUAUAUCUGUGUGUGUAUCUAUAUGUGGUCAUUGUGUGUAUAUGUGUGUGUGUCAGUGUGUAUAUAUGUGUGUGUAUCUGUGUAUCUGCAAAUGUGUCAGGUGUGUAUAUGUGUGUCAGUGUUUGAAUAUUUGUGUAUGCCAGGAUGUGUAUCUGUAUGU